CAUCAAGAGGAAAGAUUUGACUGAUUGCAACCUCGAAGUUCUCAACUUCAUAAAAUGCUAAAGCAGUACCU
rnacentral:ncRNA from 1 species